UACGUAGGGUGCGAGCGUUGUCCGGAAUUAUUGGGCGUAAAGGGCUCGUAGGCGGUUUGUCACGUCAGGAGUGAAAACUCGGGGCUCAGCCCCGAGCCUGCUUCUGAUACGGGCAGACUGGAGGUAUGCAGGGGAGAACGGAAUUCCUGGUGUAGCGGUGAAAUGCGCAGAUAUCAGGAGGAACACCGGUGGCGAAGGCGGUUCUCUGGGCAUUACCUGACGCUGAGGAGCGAAAGUGUGGGGAGCGAACAGG
rnacentral:rRNA from 1 species